GGAAAUGUGGCUUAGUGGUAGAGUGCUUGCCUAGCAUUCAUGAAACCCUGGGUUCGAUUCCUUGGUUCCA
rfam:Dipodomys ordii contig_55618, whole genome shotgun sequence.